CCCUUAGAUGUCCUGGGCCGCACGCGUGCUACACUGAUGCAUACAGCGAGCACUUCCCGGCCCCGAAAGGCGGCUGGUAAUCAGCAAUAUGCAUCGUGAUGGGGAUAGUUCUUUGGAAUUCUUGAACUUGAACGAGGAAUGCCUAGUAGGCGCAAGUCAUUACCUUGCGUCGAUUAGGUCCCUGCCCUUUGUACACACCGCCCGUCGCUCCUACCGAUUCGAGUGAUCCGGUGAGCCUUUUGGACCGAGGUAGCUUGCUGCUUUGGAAAAUCAAGUAAACCACGUCACUUAGAGGAAGGAGAAGUCGUAACA
rnacentral:rRNA from 1 species